rnacentral:rRNA from 1 species
AACGAACGCUGGCGGCAUGCCUAACACAUGCAAGUCGAACGAGACCUUCGGGUCUAGUGGCGCACGGGUGCGUAACGCGUGGGAACCUGCCCUUAGGUUCGGAAUACCUCCCCGAAAGGGGUGCUAAUACCGGAUAAUGUCUUCGGACCAAAGAUUUAUCGCCUCUGGAUGGGCCCGCGUUGGAUUAGCUAGUUGGUAGGGUAAAAGCCUACCAAGGCGACGAUCCAUAGCUGGUCUGAGAGGAUGAUCAGCCACACUGGGACUGAGACACGACCCAGACUCCUACGGGAGGCAGCAGUGGGGAAUAUUGGACAAUAGGCGAAAGCCUGAUCCAGCAAUGACGCGUGAGUGAUGAAGGCCUUAGGGUUGUAAAGCACUUUUAACCGAGAUGAUAAUGACAGUACCGGGAGAAUAAGCUCCGGCUAACUACGUG